rnacentral:rRNA from 1 species
AUUGAACGCUGGCGGCAUGCCUUACGCAUGCAAGUCGAACGGUAACAGGUCUUCGGAUGCUGACGAGUGGCGAACGGGUGAGUAAUACAUCGGAACGUGCCUAGUAGUGGGGGAUAACUACUCGAAAGAGUGGCUAAUACCGCAUGAGAUCUACGGAUGAAAGCAGGGGAUCGCAAGACCUUGUGCUACUAGAGCGGCCGAUGGCAGAUUAGGUAGUUGGUGGGAUAAAAGCUUACCAAGCCGACCAUCUGUAGCUGGUCUGAGAGGACGAUCAGCCACACUGGGACUGAGAGGCGGCCUAGACUCCUGCGGGAGGAAGCAGUGGGGAAUUUUGGACAAUGGGCGCAAGCCUGAUCCAGCAAUGCCGCGUGCAGGAUGAAGGCCUUCGGGUUGUAAACUGCUUUUGUACGGAACGAAAAGCCCUGGGUUAAUACCCUGGGGUCAUGACGGUACCGUAAGAAUAAGCACCGGCUAACUACGUGCCAGCAGCCGCCGCGGUAA